CUUCUUGUUUUCUCUUUUACAUAAUCUUUUUAUUUGAUAAUAUGAUUUUGAUUGUGUUAUUUUUCUUGUGUGUGUUUGGGUCUUUCCUUCUCUUCAUGGUGGCUUUCCCAUAAAAACCCUAGGCUUGAACAAGGGUGUGGAGUUUGUGGUAUUGAUCUUUUGUGUUCUUGAUUCUACAAUCAAGAGAGGCUCGUUGAAAAGAUUGUGAAAUUCUUAGCUUGGACCUGAGGUAGCAAAUAGGAUUUCUCUAUGGCACGCGUGGUGACGUGAGGAGUUCUUCAUCAUGGGGUGUAUGGCGUGGGGCAAUCCUAUGGACGAUAAAACGAUCAACGUAGAACGCCAUUUAAAUUAUGUUUUGUUUUAAGGGACUUUUUCCUAAAUUAUCAGUGGGACUCUGUUAUUUAACUUAAUUGGUUUUCUUUGAACUUUGCAUAAAAACCUAUGUUUUAUUUUAAA